UGAGUAACCUGCCCUUAACUCUGGGAUAAGCCUGGGAAACUGGGUCUAAUACCGGAUAUGACUCCUCAUCGCAUGGUGGGGGGUGGAAAGCUUUAUUGUGGUUUUGGAUGGACUCGCGGCCUAUCAGUUUGUUGGUGAGGUAAUGGCUCACCAAGGCAACGACGGGUAGCUGGUCUGAGAGGAUGGCCAGCCACAUUGGGGCUGAGACACGGCCCAGACUCCUACGGGAGGNAG
rnacentral:rRNA from 1 species